CCUACGGGGGGCUGCAGUGGGGAAUAUUGGACAAUGGGCGAAAGCCUGAUCCAGCCAUGCCGCGUGUGUGAAGAAGGCCUUCGGGUUGUAAAGCACUUUCAGUGGGGAAGAAAGCCUUGGGGCUAAUACCCUCGAGGAAGGACAUCACCCACAGAAGAAGCACCGGCUAACUCCGUGCCAGCAGCCGCGGUAAUACGGAGGGUGCGAGCGUUAAUCGGAAUUACUGGGCGUAAAGCGCGCGUAGGCGGUCUGAUAAGCCGGUUGGGAAAGCCCCGGGCUCAACCUGGGAACGGCAUCCGGAACUGUCAGGCUAGAGUGCAGGAGAGGAAGGUAGAAUUCCCGGUGUAGCGGUGAAAUGCGUAGAGAUCGGGAGGAAUACCAGUGGCGAAGGCGGCCUUCUGGACUGACACUGACGCUGAGGUGCGAAAGCGUGGGUAGCAAACAGGAUUAGAUACCCUGGUAGUC
rnacentral:rRNA from 1 species